UACAGAAGCCUCGAGCGUUACCCGGAUUUACUGGGCGUAAAGGGUGUGUAGGUGGCAUGAUUAGUCCGUUGUUAAAACUUCAGGCUUAACCUGAAGAUCGCGACGGAAACGGUCAUGCUCGAGGACAUGAGAGGUGUAUGGAACUCAUAGUGUAGGGGUGAAAUCCGUUGAUAUUAUGAGGAACACCAAAUGCGAAGGCAAUACACUGGCGUGUUCCUGACACUGAGACACGAAAGCGUGGGUAGCGAACGGG
rnacentral:misc_RNA from 1 species